rnacentral:ncRNA from 1 species
UAGCAGUUGCGGCCUAGUUCGCGCAGACCGUCCGCAUUAGUUGACGGGCCUAUGUGAGUGGAUAGUGUGUGGAACAUUUAAGUUUAGCCGGUGGGGUAGCUGUGGAAUGCCGCCAUCCUAGCCUCACCGGUUGGCUUAU